rnacentral:tRNA from 1 species
GGCCAAUUAGCUCAAUUCUUAGAGUAUGGUGCUAAUAAUGCUAAGGUGGUUGGUUCGAUCCCUGUAUGGGCCA